rnacentral:rRNA from 1 species
UCGGGAAUAUUGGACAAUGGGGGCAACCCUGAUCCAGCGAUGCCGCGUGUGCGAAGAAGGCCUGCGGGUUGUAAAGCACUUUGGUUGGGGAAGAAGGUUGGGCGUUGAAUAGAUGCCUGAAUUGACGUUACCCAAAGAACAAGCACCGGCUAACUCUGUGCCAGCAGCCGCGGUAAUACAGAGGGUGCGAGCGUUAAUCGGAAUUACUGGGCGUAAAGGGUGCGUAGGCGGUUAAAUAAGUUAGAUGUGAAACUCCCCGGGCUUAACCGUGGGAAUUGCAUUUAAUACUGUAUGACUAGAGUAGAGUAGAGGGAAGUGGAAUUUCCGGUGUAGCGGUGAAAUGCGUAGAUAUCGGAAAGAACAUCAGUGGCGAAGGCGGCUUCCUGGACUCAUACUGACGCUGAGGCACGAAAGCAUGGGGAGCAAACAGGAUUAGAUACCCCCGUAGUCCCUGAGCGGGCUGGCAAGGCGCAU